rnacentral:rRNA from 1 species
GAUGAACGCUGGCGGCGUGCCUAAUACAUGCAAGUCGAGCGAACAGAUAAGGAGCUUGCUCCUUUGACGUUAGCGGCGGACGGGUGAGUAACACGUGGGUAACCUACCUAUAAGACUGGGAUAACUUCGGGAAACCGGAGCUAAUACCGGAUAAUAUUUCGAACCGCAUGGUUCGAUAGUGAAAGAUGGAUUUGCUAUCACUUAUAGAUGGACCCGCGCCGGAUUAGCUAGUUGGUAGGGUAACGGCUUACCAAGGCGACGAUACGUAGCCGACCUGAGAGGAUGAUCAGCCACACUGGAACUGAGACACGGUCCAGACUCCUACGGGAGGCAGCAGUAGGGAAUCUUCCGCAAUGGGCGAAAGCCUGACGGAGCAACGCCGCGUGAGUGAUGAAGGUCUUCGGAUCGUAAAACUCUGUUAUUAGGGAAGAACAUACGUGUAAGUAACUGUGCACGUCUUGACGGUACCUAAUGAGAAAGCCACGGCUAACUACGUG